CCGUGUAGUGCCCAAGGAUACAGACGCGUGUCUCGCAUUCCUCGCUUGAGUUACGAGCUGACAGAUCUGCUCUCCCGAAGAGCCGCGGGCUAAUUAUCAGAUCGCGACAAGACGACGGGAAAGUUAUUAUUAAACUUCCAGCUGAUUUCCUUAACCCUUUAAAGUCGGGUGGUAAGUACAGAUUUCUUCUGUGAAUCAUCUUUUCUGCAAGAGAUUUUCCAGUUGGCUCAGUGCCAACAUUUUCGAAAGCGAGACAAUGAAAUUAUGGCGACCAUAAUACAAGAGGUCCUGUCGGAACUCAAAUGUCGUGUAUGCAUGGAAUAUUUUCAGCCGCCCAUAUUAAUUUGUGCUAAUGGCCACUGCUCCUGCAACAAUUGCAGAUUACAAGUGAAAAAUUGUCCGGUCUGCAGAGGUACAUUUCUGAAUGUCAGAAACACUGUUCUGGAGAAAGUGAUCACAAAAUUGAUCGGCCGAUGCAAAAACCACACUUUCGGAUGCAAUGCGACAUUCCCAAAAUAUGAUGAGACGAUUAAACAUGAAAAAGUCUGCCCACAGCAGCCUUACGAGUGCCCCAUGGAAGGAUGCACUUGGAAUCGUCCCCUUGCUACGAUGAAGAGCCAUCUGAAGGAGAAACAUGGCGCCUCCGCCGGUAAAGAAUGUGGUGGAGGCGUCAGUUCUUUGAAAAACUUUGGGGAUAAUUCUACCUGGCGUUUCGUAAAAUUAUUUAAGUCUGAAAUAUUUGUCCACGUGUCUGAAGUCAGAGGCGAUACGCUUUAUACCUGCGUGUUUCACGUUGGACACGAGAACGAAUCUGAAGAGUUUGGAUAUUUUGUGGAAAUCAGCCGAGCAGCGGGGAAGGAACAGGCAUCAGCCAAGCACACAGUUCGGAACUACGAGAAUGAUUUUGAUGAGAUUGUCAUCUCUGACAACUGCGCUAGUUUCAAUUACAAUUUUGCCAAGAAGUGUGCCUUACGUGGCAACAGACUCGAAAUGAAAGUUCAAAUCCGUUCUUUGGACACAAAGGACAGUCUCACAUCAUGAAAUACAAAAAUAUAUUCAGAGAACUUCAGCGACACAAGUUUAGUUGGCCAAACCAGAAGCUUUGUCUUAUUUAUAAAGAGUGGACCCUCCUAUGGAGUGAGUCCAUUAUCCUCGGACAAUAAAGCACGAUCCGAAAUGUUAAA